AUUGAACGCUGGCGGCAUGCCUAACACAUGCAAGUCGAGCGGAGCGGCGGACGGGUGAGUAAUGCCUAGGAAUCUGCCUGGUAGUGGGGGAUAACGUACGGAAACGGGCGCUAAUACAGCAUACUAUCAGAUACGUCUAGGGCGGAUUAGCUAGUUGGUGGGGUAAAGGCUUACCAAGGAGACGAUCCGUCACUGGUCUGAGAGGAUGAUCAGUCACACUGUAACUGGGACACGGGCCAGACGCCUACGGGAGGCAGAAGUGGGGAAUAUUGGACAAUGGGCGAAAGCCUGAUGCAGCCAUGCCGGGUGUGGGAAGAAGGUCUUCGGAUUGUAAAGCACUUUAAGUUGGGAGGCGUUACCCGCAGAAGAAGCACCGGCUAACUACGUGCCAGCAGCCGCGGUAAUAC
rnacentral:rRNA from 1 species